AGAGUUUGAUCCUGGCUCAGGACGAACGCUGGCGGCGGGCCUAACACAUGCAAGUCUAAGGAGAAUUUCGGAGCAAUCUGAAAGGACACUGGCGCACGGGUGAGUAACGCGUAGGUAACCUACCUUCUGCUGGGGGAUAACAUCGGGAAACCGGUGCUAAUACCGCAUAAUGCAGCGGUCACGCAUGUGGCAGUUGUUAAAGAAUUUCGGCAGAAGAUGGGCCUGCGUGUCAUUAGUUAGUUGGUAAGGUAACGGCUUACCAAGACGAUGAUGACUAGGGGGUCUGAGAGGAUGAUCCCCCACACUGGAACUGAGACACGGUCCAGACUCCUACGGGAGGCAGCAGUGAGGAAUCUUGCGCAAUGGGGGAAACCCUGACGCAGCCACGCCGCGUGCCAGAUGAAGGCCCUACGGGUCGUAAAUGGCUUUUGGUCGGGAAGAUAAGCCGGGUUUCGACCUGGUGUGACGGUACCGACUGAAUAAGCACCGGCUAACUCCGUGCCAGCAGCCGCGGUAAUACGGAGGGUGCAAGCGUUGUCCGGAAUCAUUGGGUGUAAAGGGUGCGUAGGCGGAUGUCUAAGUCUGGGGUGAAAUCUUGCAGCUUAACUGUAAAAUUGCCUUGGAUACUGGAUGUCUUGAGUACAGAAGAGGAUGGUGGAAUUCGUAGUGUAGCGGUGAAAUGCAUAGAUAUUACGAAGAACACCGGUGGCGAAAGCGGCCAUCUGGUCUGUUACUGACGCUGAGCACGAAAGCGUGGGGAGCGAACAGGAUUAGAUACCCUGGUAGUCCACGCCGUAAACGAUGUGUGCUAGUUGUUGGCCUGUAUGGGCCAGUGACGUAGUUAACGCGCUAAGCACACCACCUGGGGAGUACGUUCGCAGAUGAAACUCAAGGAUUGACGG
rnacentral:rRNA from 1 species